CCCUGUGCUCUUACGCCGCCGCCACCCCCGCGAGGAGAGAACUUCGACAGCAGUCAUCCCCGUUAGAUUCCCCUCGCGAGCCAGACCCCCUCCUCUCCUCCGGUUCCCUUUCGCCGUGCGCUCGCCGGAUCUGGUGGUAGAAGACAAUUUCGGGCAUCCCCAGGCUUGGUAGGCCAUCCAACGGCCUCGAGCCUGUCUUCUCCCGAUGACAUCAACCGAGUCCGUGCGGUUCAUGAUGGCGUCCGCCACGGGUUUCCUCGUCGUCUCGUCCACCGCGGGCUCCCGCAUCCUCUCGCUCUCAUCCGGCUUCCUACGCCGGGGGAGGCGCAUCGAUGCUCGGCCCCUCCGGAUCUGGUUGAAGAAGACGACCCCCGGCUCUCCCAGGCUAGUCCGGCCGGAUUGUUCUUCAUUCGCUCCCCCGAAGACGGAACCUAUGACGUUGAUUUGCGGUGGGAACCCGAAGACGGCGACCUCCACGCUUUGCUGGGGCAUGAACCAACGACCAGGGAUCAGACCCAGACCCAGACCUUGCCUUUCGCUUUAGGGGCCUCCUCGACCAGAUCCCCUCCGGCUGGGUCUUCCUCACCGACGCCGGCUUGAGGACUGGACGAACUGCUACGCAGAAAACCAGAUCAGAAGUAGAGCAAGGGUAACCAAAUGGAGAAAAAAGGCGCUGAUAUCUGGCCACACCAACUGCUGUCCAGUAAGGUGCCGAAGUACAAGCAGAUAAUCCUCUGUCAGUGCUCCAAGGUGAAGAUGGGCAAGUUCCUGGAAUAAGCGCUGCCUGCUUGAACUGGCCUGAUUCUUGACCUCCUUCCACAAGGAUAGAGCUAAGAAACUCCUAUCAUCGAUGAAUUUAACUUCAAUGAAACAUGAAGUCUUACUGUGCACAUGAAUGCAUACCUUUUCCCGAAUGCAUUUGUUACUUCAUUAGUAAAAUAAAUAUAUGCCAUGCCUUUGGUACAUUCUUUGCCAUGUAAUCUGUAGUGUUUAAUUCCUUUCCAGUAAAUUGGCCCUUUUAUUCUCCCUGAUGCCAAAUUGUAAUCAGCUAGUAGGUACUUCAGGACUAACAGCUUUGACAGUAGAAACACAGGUUAUUGAGAUGGCUUGUACUUUUGGUAUGGUUUUCAAUACAAUAUCUGCUAUACAUCUUACUGGUUUUUAAAAUGACUUGUAUGUUUUUGCUACUCGUUAUUGGAUUAAUGUUGUUCUUUUCAUAGCGGUAGUUCAUGUACUUCUAGUGAAGAUUGUAUUUUCCUAAAAAUAUUUUACUUCGAACACCGAACUCUGAACCUCAUCGGGCUGUGUGUGCUUUGCAGGCCAGUGAUUUGAUUCACAAAACAAACAACCUUGUACUCCUCGUGGCAGAUUCUCUUCAUGGAGAAGAGCAUCCUAAACAAGAUGUCAUGGACCAUCACUGUUCACACUUAAUCAUGGUGUGGUUUGCCAAGGCCAACGGUAGAAACAUGGUUUAUGUCAGCUUUUGCUUCUCCCUUCUCUCCUUUGCCUACAGUGCGUUUACAAAUUAAUGAGCUCCAGGCUGAAGAAGUUUAAGAAUCUUGAAGUUGUGAAGCCCAACUCAGCAAAUACUAGCUACUUAUUAUGAUAGUCAGCAUAUCUGGGUUGUAAUUAUACUGUAAUGGUUGUAAUGGAGUAAAGUUAGCAGAUAUUUAAA